rnacentral:tRNA from 1 species
GGGGAGCGGUCAAACCCAGCUGACUGUAAAUCAGCCGCUUCGGCUUCGCAGGUUCGAAUCCUGCCCCCUCCACCA